rnacentral:rRNA from 1 species
GAUGAACGCUGACAGAAUGCUUAACACAUGCAAGUCGAUGGGGAAGUGGUGCUUGCACCAUGGCAACCAUGGCGGACGGGUGAGUAACGCGUAAGGGACUUACCUGCAGGACUGGGAUAACAGGGGGAAACUCCUGACAAGACCGGAUAGUGUCAUGGAGCUGCAUGGCUUUAUGAUGAAAGGAGACGCCUGCGGAGAGCCUUGCGUCCUAUUAGCUAGUUGGUGAGGUAAUGGCUCACCAAGGCGAAGAUAGGUAGCCGGCCUGAGAGGGUGGACGGCCACAAGGGGACUGAGAUACGGCCCUUACUCCUACGGGAGGCAGCAGUGGGGAAUAUUGGACAAUGGGGGCAACCCUGAUCCAGCAAUUCUGUGUGCACGAAGAAGGUUUUCGGAUUGUAAAGUGCUUUCAGCAGGGAAGAAGUAAGUGACGGUACCUGCAGAAGAAGCGACGGCUAAAUACGUG